AAGACGAUACUUUCAGGGAUCAUUUCUAUAGUUCCUAACUAGAGAAGUGCAUUCGAAAGUGAUCGGGCGAGCCAACCGCGGGGAGGAUUCGUGGCGCUUUCUCCUGAGCGGGAAGCUGGCAGGGGGCGCUCCUUUGCGGGGAGCUGCUUUUCUGGCCUUGAUGAUCGUUCUGCCUCCUCUUUUGGGGGGAGGGCGGAGGGAGAGAGCGCGAUCUGAGCGGU